UACGGAGGGUGCAAACGUUGCUCGGAAUCAUUGGGCGUAAAGCGCACGUAGGCGGUUCGUUAAGUUGGGUGUGAAAGCCCUCGGCUUAACCGAGGAAGUGCAUCCAAAACUGGCGAGCUUGAGUAUGGAAGAGGGUCUCGGAAUUCCCGGUGUAGAGGUGAAAUUCGUAGAGAUCGGGAGGAACACCAGUGGCGAAGGCGGAGACCUGGGCCAAUACUGACGCUGAGGUGCGAAAGCGUGGGGAGCAAACAGG
rnacentral:rRNA from 1 species